rnacentral:rRNA from 1 species
GACGAACCGUACGAACGUUAUUCGGAAUCACUGGGCUUAAAGGGUGCGUAGGCGGCGCGACAAGUUGGGUGUGAAAUCCCUCGGCUCAACCGAGGAACUGCGCCCAAAACUGUCGUGCUCGAGGGAGACAGAGGUGAGCGGAACUUAGGGUGGAGCGGUGAAAUGCGUUGAUAUCCUAAGGAACACCGGUGGCGAAGGCGGUUCUCUGGGCCUGUACUGACGCUGAGGAGCGAAAGCGUGGGGAGCGAACAGG